UAAGUUCGAAAACUUACCUACUUCUUCAGCUCGUGCCAGAUUACAUGCAAAGGUCGUAAAAACGAAGAAGCAGCAAAACAAGGCUUUUCUUGUGGGUAUCCGAGGAAACUUCGUUUGAGACUUUGAGGUAGCAGUACGUAGAAGUGGAGACUGAAGACACAAUUAGAUCAACGCCCGAGGCGACGAAUUUUCUAGUUGACGUUUCCAAAAGAAAAGGCUUCAUCAUAACGUGUCAAACUUCGCCUAUAUGGUUAAUUUGGAACAUCUUCUGAGUCUUUAGAUGACAAGUAGCUGGCUUAUUCAAUGUUGCCGGUAAGCUACUCAGCAGCAUAGCUUACAUUCUUUGAUUUGGAUGUACAAACGUUAAGUUCAAAUGUGUGCAGCCAAACUACAAAAUGAAAGGGAUACAAGGGAAAAGUAAAUUAAGGACAAAAUAGCUUGUCUUCCCUCACUCUUCAAAUGGAACUAGAAGGCUUUGCUUUAACUCCAUUUCUGUAUGAAGCCUAUUUUCCCUCUUUCGGCGUUUAUUAAUUUAUUGGACUUUCCCUUUACAAAUUCAGGGUCCAAA